ACCAGCUGUGGGUGGUCCUGGGAGCUGGCCCUGCCAAGAGGGGGAGGAGGAGGAGGCUGAAGAAGUGUCCCUGGGAAGCGUUGCCCUGGACAGAGCACAAGUCCUGUGCAAUGAAGGCAUUUUGUCUUUGAGGACAGUGACACUCGCAGAGUCAGGCUGCAUGUGACAUCACCCGAGUGGACACUCACUGUGCUCUGGAGAUUUAGCAGCCAUCCUCGGGAAGAGUCUAAAGCAAAGGCUGUGAAAAAGCCGGCAGCAAUUCCUGCCAACCAGCACAGCUGUACGGGCACGGGGGAGCAGGGCUGCUGGGAGAGCAGCCGGGCUCAAAUGGGUCAUGGAGACCCAAGAGUGCCGUGAGAGGCCAUUUCAAGGAUCCAAAGGAGAGGGCAAGGUCUGAACUCUCUCCAUGGCCUUGUGCGCUGUUAAAAAUGGGAAAGUUACACAGGCCUUGGAGAGCACAAAGUCACAACAGAUUAAGUCCAGAGGUGAUUGCAGAGGCUUUGAAGGCCCCGAGGCCACAGCCACAGCACCAUCACCAGCACAGGCACUGCUAUGCAGCUGUGAUGCUUUUCCAUUGUUCUUCUAUUUCUGGACUUGUAAAAAAGUCAAGGGAAUUAAAGAUACUGAAGAU